UACGUAGGUGACAAGCGUUGUCCGGAUUUACUGGGCGUAAAGAGCGCGCAGGCGGUCGUUCAAGUCGAGUGUGAAAGCCCCCGGCUCAACUGGGGAGGGUCAUUCGAUACUGAUCGACUCGAAGGCAGGAGAGGGUAGUGGAAUUCCCGGUGUAGUGGUGAAAUGCGUAGAUAUCGGGAGGAACACCGACGGCGAAGGCAGCACUCUGGGCCGGUACUGACGCUGAGGAGCGAAAGCGUGGGGAGCAAACAGG
rnacentral:rRNA from 1 species